rnacentral:rRNA from 1 species
UGGGGAAUAUUGCACAAUGGGCGCAAGCCUGAUGCAGCGACGCCGCGUGCGGGAUGACGGCCUUCGGGUUGUAAACCGCUUUUGAUCGGGAGCAAGCCUUCGGGUGAGUGUACCUUUCGAAUAAGCACCGGCUAACUACGUGCCAGCAGCCGCGGUAAUACGUAGGGUGCAAGCGUUAUCCGGAAUUAUUGGGCGUAAAGGGCUCGUAGGCGGUUCGUCGCGUCCGGUGUGAAAGUCCAUCGCUUAACGGUGGAUCUGCGCCGGGUACGGGCGGGCUGGAGUGCGGUAGGGGAGACUGGAAUUCCCGGUGUAACGGUGGAAUGUGUAGAUAUCGGGAAGAACACCAAUGGCGAAGGCAGGUCUCUGGGCCGUUACUGACGCUGAGGAGCGAAAGCGUGGGGAGCGAACAGGAUUAGAUACCCUGGUAGUCCACGCCGUAAACGGUGGAUGCUGGAUGUGGGGCCCGUUCCACGGGUUCCGUGUCGGAGCUAACGCGUUAAGCAUCCCGCCUGGGGAGUACGGCCGCAAGGCUAAAACUCAAAGAAAUUGACGGGGGCCCGCACAAGCGGCGGAGCAUGCGGAUUAAUUCGAUGCAACGCGAAGAACCUUACCUGGGCUUGACAUGUUCCCGACAGCCGUAGAGAUACGGCCUCCCUUCGGGGCGGGUUCACAGGUGGUGCAUGGUCGUCGUCAGCUCGUGUCGUGAGAUGUUGGGUUAAGUCCCGCAACGAGCGCAACCCUCGCCCUGUGUUGCCAGCACGUCAUGGUGGGAACUCACGGGGGACCGCCGGGGUCAACUCGGAGGAAGGUGGGGAUGACGUCAGAUCAUCAUGCCCCUUACGUCCAGGGCUUCACGCAUGCUACAAUGGCCGGUACAACGGGAUGCGACAUGGCGACAUGGAGCGGAUCCCUGAAAACCGGUCUCAGUUCGGAUUGGAGUCUGCAACCCGACUCCAUGAAGGCGGAGUCGCUAGUAAUCGCGGAUCAGCAACGCCGCGGUGAAUGCGUUCCC